rnacentral:rRNA from 1 species
AUUGAACGCUGGCGGCAGGCCUAACACAUGCAAGUCGAACGGUAACAGGAAACAGCUUGCUGUUUCGCUGACGAGUGGCGGACGGGUGAGUAAUGUCUGGGAAACUGCCUGAUGGAGGGGGAUAACUACUGGAAACGGUAGCUAAUACCGCAUAACGUCGCAAGACCAAAGGGGGGGCCUUCGGGCCUCUUGCCAUCGGAUGUGCCCAGAUGGGAUUAGCUAGUAGGUGGGGUAACGGCUCACCUAGGCGACGAUCCCUAGCUGGGAUGAGAGGAUGACCAGCAACACUGGAACUGAGACACGGGCCAGACUCCUACGGGAGGCAGCAGUGGGGAAUAUUGCACAAUGGGCGCAAGCCUGAUGCAGCCAUGCAGCGUGUAUGAAGAAGGCCUUCGGGUUGUAAAGUACUUUCAGCGGGGAGGAAGGGAGUAAAGUUAAUACCUUUGCUCAUUGACGUUACCCGCAGAAGAAGCACCGGCUAACUCCGUGCCAGCCGCCGCUGUAA